AUUAAAUUAAAGCCUGGGUUGAUCCCGUUCCGGUUCUAAAAACAUGGGAGCAAACUAAUAAAAAAGGUAAAUAACCCUAAAUACCUGUUACCGCCAAGUUCUCAUUUCCUGUAAAGACUGAACUCCGGUAACUGAACCCCAAGAAAGUGACAAUCAGCUGCAAAUUCUGGUAAAUUGGUGGAAUGGAAAACGAAUCAUUGAAUCCCGAUAAGAUACGAGCGGACUUCAUUAAAGUGCUUCAUAGCAGACGAUCUGCUCAAGUUCCAUUAUCAGUUGAAGAAGGAAAGGGUGUUGCCAAUCCUUUAUUUCAGGGUAAUGGACCUCUACCUCCAAGGACUCAUACCCAGGGAAAUCGGCCUCCAAGGACGCAUGGCGAGGCGAUGGUGCAUUGUCCGAAGGCAGAGAUAAAGGAUUUUAAAAAUUUACUUAAAGAGGAGAAUCUUUAUUUGAUUACUGAGGCUGGAGAUCAAGGGCGUCUGCCUAUGCUGAUUCUUAGCUUGAAAGAGAGAAAUUAUAAAAGGCCUGCUAUAGUUUUCUUGCAUCCCACACAUUUAUGCAAAGAAUGGCUUCGCCCUAUGCUUGAGGCCUAUGCUUCACGCGAAUACAUAGCCAUUUCAAUUGACUGUCGCUACCAUGGUGAACGCGCAAGUAGUAAAACCACUUACCAAGAUGCCCUUGUAUCGGCAUGGAAGAAAGGUGACACAAUGCCAUUCUUGUUCGACACGGUCUGGGACUUGAUAAAACUGGCUGAUUACCUCACCCAGAGACAAGAUAUUGACUCCGCCAGGAUAGGAAUUACUGGCAUAUCACUGGGAGGAAUGCUUUCAUGGCUUGCUGCUGCUGCUGACACCAGAUAUGCAGUGACUGUCCCUAUGUUAGGUGUGCAAGGAUUUCGUUGGGCCAUUGACAAUGAUAAGUGGCAAACUCGGGUUGACACUUUAAGGCCUUUAUUUGAAGAAGCACAAAAAGAUUUGGGGAAGAACGCAAUUGACAAAGAAGUGGCGGAAAAGGUGUGGGAUAGAAUUGCUCCAGGUCUGACCUCCAGCUUUGAUUUACCGUACACAAUUCCCGCCAUUGCACCACGUCCACUGCUUAUUCUCAAUGGUGCAGAAGAUCCUUAUUGCCCGAUUGCGGGUUUAGAAAUUCCUAAAUUAAGAGCACAAAAGGCAUAUGAAGAAUCCCGUAGCCAGGAUAAAUUCAAGCUAAUCGCGGAACCUGGGAUUGGGCAUCUGAUGACACCAUUUAUGGUGAAAGAAGCGGCUGAUUGGUUCGACAAGUUCUUUUAAGAACUAUAAAAUGUCCAUUAAUUUAUAGUUCUCUAAAUAAUGUAAUCGGGAGCGGCUCCCUUUAAAUUUUUAAAUUUUAAAUUUCUAAUUUUUCUUCAUUAUAUUGUUGGAUUUACAUCUAGGUCCAUACAUCAAACUAAACUAUCAAUCUGAUCUGGAUUAACCCAAAACUUAUUUUAAUUUGGUGAUUUUUGUGUAAAGUGUGGUUUUUGAGUUUGUUUUAGGGUUAAGCACACAAAUAACCCAAAUGGUCCCCUUUCUUUCAUAAAUACAUCAGCUAAUAAAUAAAUGCAAAAAUCUCUCACAAUAAAAAAAUAGUUUUCAUAAAUACAUAAAAUCACCAAACAUAGAGGUUUUCAUUAAAAAUAGGACAAAAUUACCCUUCUUUAAGAAUCCACAUUUACAAGAUUUGUAAAUAUCGCUGGCUUCAUCAUCUCAUUCAAGAGGCGGCGAGAAUCUUCUAGAAACGGCAACGACGAUCUCCUAGAAGUGGCAGCGGCGAUCUCCAUUCCUCUGCUCCACUAUCCUUCCUUUCUCUGCUCCGAUGUCCUUCGCUCCUCUACUCUAUUGUCCUUUGUUCCGCCGUUCCGCCAAACCUUUGUCCAUCCACUUCGUCGUUCCACUGCUCCUCCGUUCUAUCGUUUUUCAUCAAUGUUGGUGCUGGCAUCGUUGGUGCCUCUCGCUCACACUAUCAGAAAGGAAGGAAGCUUGUUGAAAUGCAUAAAGCUGGAAAAUUUCAAAAAGGUUUUGGAUUUGAUGUUGAAAAUACAAUUGGCUGGUGGAAAUUUUUAGGUACUAUCAUUCCUAUCAUUGUUUGGCAUGUUAUUAAUGGAAAUUUAAAUAACUUGAUGCUUAACUUUUUUUUUGAAUUUGUUUAGUUCUAAUACCUCUAUUGGUGAUUUUUUUAUUGAGUGUGUGAAUAAAAAAGUUAUACUGGAGCAAAAUUCCAUGUCAAUGAGAAAUAUUGAUCCAGAAGAAGCAAAGUUGUGGUCUCUAAUAUGCAUCAAGACAAGGCUCCCAUUCCUGAUGGGUUAAACCCCGAGUUUUUAUUCAGAAAUAUUAUUUGGUUAUACCAUAUAAUAACUCUGUAGCAUUUCAAGAUGGAUUCCAUUCCAAUCUUGAUUAUGGCAUACUGCCAUGUAUAUUCAAUGUGAAUAUUGAGAAUCAACUCUUGUUGGUUGUGUUAUUGAUUUUUAAAAUAUUGGAUUACA